UACAGAGGUCCCGAGCGUUUGUUCGGAUUCACUGGGCGUAAAGGGUGCGUAGGUGGCGUGGUAAGUUUGAUGUGAAAGCUCAGGGCUUAACCCUGAAAUGGCAUUGAAUACUACUGUGCUGGAGGUUUGGAGGGGGGACUGGAAUUCUUGGUGUAGCAGUGAAAUGCGUAGAUAUCAAGAGGAACACCAGUGGCGAAGGCGAGUCCCUGGACAACACCUGACACUGAGGCACGAAAGCUAGGGGAGCAAACAGG
rnacentral:rRNA from 1 species